AUCAACAGAAAAUGAAGGAAAAGCUGAUGUUAAACUGAAACACAGUGGAGCAAACAACAAUACUUAUGGAUUUAGACAAAAACAAUGGAAGUCUUGAUGAGGACUUUUUCAAGGACUACAAACCCCCAGAAAAUGAUCUGCUCACUCCACCCAAGCAUAUCAUUUAUCUGCUGCUGGCUGUGAGCGUGACAGGAGUCACCCUUUUUGCCAUCAUAAGACACCUCAUCCAGGAUCUCAUCCAUGAUCUGGCAGAUUUCCUGUUUGGAGAGCAGCCUGUGGAAGAGCCGGAGACUCUCUGGGAAAGGCGGGAUAAGUUUAGGGCAGACUGGAUUCCAGAGGCAAUGCCUGAGCUGGAGGCCAUGGUGAGAGAUGAGGAUAUACAAGAACUCAUGGAGGGCACUGAAGACUUGCCAGCCAUCUGGGUUAUAUCGGACAAGUUUCAGCCUCGUGCUCCAUCCUCCAUUCAAAUAGAUGUUAGCGGCAGCUAGCAUGAAAUAAGUACAAGACUCUUCUCCUCUGAAUGCUUGCACUGAUAUACUUAAAUAUUUUUCAAACUAACACCCAAUAAUCCAUUGCGUCAACUAUGCGCACACAUCUUGUUCUUCCUUUUCUUCUAAAAGACCUCAUGAAAUGAAAAUUAUUAUGAAAAUGGCAUAACUUACUUUUGUAACAGGACGUUGGAAUGUAUCAAAUGGAAGAUGAAUUGAAGACAAUUUGCUAGUCAGCAGCAUGUGGUCUCAGAGGACAGGAAAUGAUCCUUCCAGAGAGAAUCUGAUUGGACAAACAAUUUCAUCCAUCUAGUGCAAGAUGAGUCGUCGUUAUUUUUCUCUGUUUUCCCCAGAAGAGAAAGACUGUCAUUUUUUAAUGUGUAUAUCUGCUCAACGUGAAUUCUGUAACGUCAAGUUGGAUAGAGAUGACCUCAAAGCAAACGCACAUGGUCUAAAUGAAACAAAACUCUAAAUUUGAAUAAAUAAGGUGUUUUACAUUUUUGGACAUACUGUUGCACUAUAUCAAUUCAAUAGACGUUUUUGUGUUUAUGAGCCCUUACAGAAGUUUAACCUGGCACGACCUUCUGUUCUGUGCCAGCUUGGAAAGUAAACCUUUGUUUUUACAACAUAAUAGCAUGUAACAUUUUCAGUGGGAGAUUAUCUAACAAUCACGCACACUUACUCUCUGAGUGACAUGCUGUGAUCUGUGACCUCUCUAAUGGAUUUUGUACUUUGGACACCAAGAAUCCUUCACAUAUUUACAGACGACUGAGAGGAACGCAGCAGUGCGUGCGGACUAAAUUCAUCAUGUUUCAUCUACAGAAUAUCGUUGCCUUCAUAAUAAUCUCUGCCUCUAUUUGUCAGGCUCAAGCUG
rnacentral:lncRNA from 1 species